CAAUAAUGGAGGUGAUGAUGAUGAUGAUGAUGAUGAUGAUGGUGAUAAGAAUCAUCAUCAUUAUCAUCAUCAUCAUCAUCACCAUCAUCAUCACUG
rnacentral:pre_miRNA from 1 species